AGGGUAAGAAGAACAAAAGGUUGUUCUGGGUUCCUGCAAUUGCGCCGUUGGUUUCUGUCAUUCUUUCCACCUUCUUUGUCUACAUUACUCAUGCUGAAAAAAAGGGAGUCGCGAUUGUAAGUGCUUGUCUUAGGCGCUUACUACUUUUUCAUUUAAUUUUUCUUUUGGAGCAUAAUGAUCUAUUUUUAAUCAUUUCUAUGACAACCUUACCAGGUAGGACACAUUGAGAAAGGAAUAAAUCCUCCUUCCGUCAAGGAAAUAUAUUUCACUGGAGACUAUCUUUUAAAAGGGCUUCGGACUGGUAUUGUAGCUGGCAUGAUUGCAUUGACGGUAAGCAAAUUAUUUAAUGAAAUGUUGAAGCAGGAAACCUUGACAUAUUUCUAAUCGAUAUCUGAUGUUUACCUUCUGUUUCAUAGGAAGCUGUUGCAAUUGGAAGAACCUUUGCUUCAAUGAAGGACUACCAGUUGGACGGAAACAAAGAGAUGGUGGCGCUUGGAGCUAUGAAUAUUGUUGGCUCA
rnacentral:lncRNA from 1 species